CAGUAGCUGAGUGGAUAACGUGUUGGCGUUUGAAGCGAAAGGUCCUGGGUUCGAGUUUCAGAGUGAA
rnacentral:tRNA from 1 species